GGUAUCCAUAAUUCUGGUUCACCCGGCUUGAUACAUGGAAAUGCAGUUGCUUUGAACAGGCAACUCAUUGAAAAAGGACUGAAACAAUUUAGCGCAUUUUCUCAAUAUGCGUAUGAAUGUACCCCGCUUGAUGUGAAACUGGAUGCGAUUGGAGACGCUGGUAGCUUUUUAAUUCAUGAUUUUCAUGAAAAGGAGCGAAUUAGCGCUGCUGUUAAAACGAACUUGGCAAG
rnacentral:misc_RNA from 1 species